CACGCAGGACCUCCAUGAGAUUG
rnacentral:miRNA from 1 species